rnacentral:rRNA from 1 species
UACGAGGGGUGCAAGCGUUGCUCGGAAUUAUUGGGCGUAAAGGGUAGGUAGGUGGUCUCAUUUGUCCGGGGUGAAAGCCUUGGGCUUAACUCAAGAAGUGCCCCGGAAACGGUGAGACUGGAGUCCUGGAGAGGGUCGUGGAAUUCCCGGUGUAGCGGUGAAAUGCGUAGAGAUCGGGAGGAACACCAGUGGCGAAGGCGGCAUCCUGGUCUGCGACUGACGCUGAGGCGCGAAAGCUAGGGGAGCGAACGGG